rnacentral:rRNA from 1 species
AUUGAACGCUGGCGGCAUGCCUUACAUAUGCAAGUCGAACGGUAACAGGUUAAGCUGGCGAGUGGCGAACGGGUGAGUAAUGUAUCGGAACGUGCCCAGUCGUGGGGGAUAACUGCUCGAAAGAGCAGCUAAUACCGCAUACGACCUGAGGGUGAAAGCGGGGGAUCGCAAGACCUCGCGCGAUUGGAGCGGCCGAUAUCAGAUUAGGUAGUUGGUGGGGUAAAGGCCUACCAAGCCUACGAUCUGCAGCUGGUCUGAGAGGACGACCAGCCACACUGGGACUGAGACACGGCCCAGACUCCUACGGGAGGCAGCAGUGGGGAAUUUUGGACAAUGGACGCAAGUCUGAUCCAGCCAUGCCGCGUGCGGGAAGAAGGCCUUCGGGUUGUAAACCGCUUUUGUCAGGGAAGAAAAGGUUCUGGUUAAUACCUGGGACUCAUGACGGUACCUGAAGAAUAAGCACCGGCUAACUACGUGCCAGCGGCCGCGGUAAGAC